rnacentral:rRNA from 1 species
CCUACGGGUGGCAGCAGUGGGGAAUAUUGCACAAUGGGGGAAACCCUGAUGCAGCGACGCCGCGUGAGUGAGGAAGUAUUUCGGUAUGUAAAGCUCUAUCAGCAGGGAAGAAAAUGACGGUACCUGACUAAGAAGCCCCGGCUAACUACGUGCCAGCAGCCGCGGUAAUACGUAGGGGGCAAGCGUUAUCCGGAUUUACUGGGUGUAAAGGGAGCGUAGACGGUUAAUCAAGUCAGAAGGGAAAACCCAGGGCUCAACCUUGGGACUGCUUUUGAAACUGAGUAGCUAGAGUGCGUGAGAGGUAAGCGGAAUGCCGAGUGUAGCGGUGAAAUGCGUAGAUAUUAGGAGGAACACCAGUGGCGAAGGCGGCUUACUGGAGUGUAACUGACGUUGAGGCUCGAAAGCGUGGGGAGCGAACAGGAUUAGAUACCCGGGUAGUC